CUUCACCGACCCCAGCCACACCGGACGGCCCGCCGGCCGGUCGCGCCCGUAGGUCGCCAGCAGCGCCUGUGCCUC
rfam:Frankia sp. EAN1pec, complete genome.